rnacentral:lncRNA from 1 species
AAAAAACCACCCUUUACGGCGGCUCCACUACAAAAACAACAAGAUACUCAACCUGUAACUACACUUCAUCUCUUGAAGAACCGUUCCCUAAAAGAACCGCCACUAACACCCCCCAUCACGCCCAGAUCUCUGGAGCGUGGACAACAUAAAUGGGGGCCCAACAUCGGUAACAAUAAUUGGGAUGGGCCUGGCUCUGAUACC